GAUGAACGCUGGCGGCGUGCCUAAUACAUGCAAGUCGAGCGAACGGACGAGAAGCUUGCUUCUCUGAUGUUAGCGGCGGACGGGUGAGUAACACGUGGAUAACCUACCUAUAAGACUGGGAUAACUUCGGGAAACCGGAGCUAAUACCGGAUAAUAUUUUGAACCGCAUGGUUCAAAAGUGAAAGACGGUCUUGCUGUCACUUAUAGAUGGAUCCGCGCUGCAUUAGCUAGUUGGUAAGGUAACGGCUUACCAAGGCAACGAUGCAUAGCCGACCUGAGAGGGGGAUCGGCCACACUAGAACUGAGACACGGUCCAGACUCCUACGGGAGGCAGCAGUAGGGAAUCUGCCGCAAUGGGCGAAAGCCUGACGGAGCAACGCCGCGUGAGUGAUGAAGGUCUUCGGAUCGUAAAACUCUGUUAUUAGGGAAGAACAUAUGUGUAAGUAACUGUGCACAUCUUGACGGUACCUAAUCAGAAAGCCACGGCUAACUACGUG
rnacentral:rRNA from 1 species